rnacentral:rRNA from 1 species
ACGCUCGACACCUACGGGGGGCAGCAGUGGGGAAUAUUGCACAAUGGGGGAAACCCUGAUGCAGCAACGCCGCGUGAAGGAAGACGGUUUUCGGAUUGUAAACUUCUGUUCUUAGUGAAGAUAGUGACGGUAGCUAAGGAGCAAGCCACGGCUAACUACGUACCAGCAGCCGCGGUAAUCUGAGCGGGCUGGCAAGGC